AACGGACGCUGGCGGCAUGCCUAACACAUGCAAGUCGAACGAAGCCUUCGGGCUUAGUGGCGCACGGGUGCGUAACGCGUGGGAAUCUGCCCUUGGGUUUGGAAUAACAGUUAGAAAUGACUGCUAAUACCGGAUGAUGUCUUCGGACCAAAGAUUUAUCGCCCAAGGAUGAGCCCGCGUAAGAUUAGGUAGUUGGUGGGGUAAUGGCCCACCAAGCCGACGAUCCUUAGCUGGUCUGAGAGGAUGAUCAGCCACACUGGGACUGAGACACGGCCCAGACUCCUACGGGAGGCAGCAGUGGGGAAUAUUGGACAAUGGGCGAAAGCCUGAUCCAGCAAUGCCGCGUGAGUGAUGAAGGCCUUAGGGUUGUAAAGCUCUUUUACCAGGGAUGAUAAUGACAGUACCUGGAGAAUAAGCUCCGGCUAACUCCGUGCCAGCAGCCGCCGUAA
rnacentral:rRNA from 1 species